GUCCCUCAUUCAUGCACUCUUCCAUCUUUUUGCCAUUGUGCCAGCUCAAUUUAAAUGUAUCUGCUCUGUAUCUGUUCAAGUGGAGAUAAUCCAUGCAAAUCAGGAGCCGUGGCUCUCAAUGCCUGGUUCACAGAGAGGACUCAGCUUGAGGAGGUCACUCGUUCACAGCCGCUCCUCCCAUUAUAUUUUUCCCCUUAUUGCAGAACUGCUGUAUGUAUACAGUGACUGAAAGGACUCAAUUUACUGCAACUGCUGCCUGGCUUUACUUACAACUUUUUUUUUAUAAAGGAAUUUACCUCCAUCUGUCUUUUCAAGUUUCAGGGUAGAAAGGCUCCCUUUAACUCCUGAAGACAGUAAAUCACAGUCUGUGUGGUGGUUCUCAGAAGACACUUAAAGGACUGAACUGGAUGCUCUACAUAGCACCCUUGCCAAAAGGGUUCGGAAAUGACUUCCAGCUUCCCACAGUAAUAAAAUGGCACUGUUUGGCAUCUUCGAGGUAAUAAAAGUGAAUUUUUUCCAUUCUAGUAAA